rnacentral:rRNA from 1 species
GACGAACGCUGGCGGCGUGCUUAACACAUGCAAGUCGAACGGAAAGGCCCUGCUUGCAGGGUUCUCGCGUGGCGAACGGGUGAGUAACACGUGGGUGAUCUGCCCUGCACUUCGGGUUAAGCCUGGGAAACUGGGUCUAAUACCGGACAGGAGCCAUAUUUAGUGUGAUGGUUGGAAAGUUUUUUCGGUGUAGGAUGAGCUCGCGGCCUAUCUGCUUGUUGGGGGGGUAAUGGCCUACCAAGGCGGCGGCGGGUAGCCGGCCUGAGAGGGUGGCCGGCCACAGUGGGACUGAGAGACGGCCCAGACACGGACGGGAGGCAGCAGCGCGGAAUAUUGCACAAUGAGAGCAAGCCUGAUGCAGAGACGCCGCGGGGGGGAUGACGGCCUUCGGAUUGUAAACUCCUUUCGCAAGGGACGAAGCUUUUUGUGACGGUACCUAGAUAAGAAGCACCGGCUAACUACGUG